rnacentral:rRNA from 1 species
UCCGUAGGUGGAUAAUUAAGUCAGAGGUGAAAUCCUGCAGCUCAACUGUAGAAUUGCCUUUGAUACUGGUUAUCUUGAGUCAUUAUGAAGUGGUUAGAAUGUGUAGUGUAGCGGUGAAAUGCAUAGAUAUUACACAGAAUACCGAUUGCGAAGGCAGAUCACUAAUAAUGUACUGACACUGAUGGACGAAAGCGUGGGGAGCGAACAGGAUUGGAUACCCUGGUAGUCC